ACAGAGGGUGCAAGCGUUGUUCGGAAUUAUUGGGCGUAAAGCGCGUGUAGGCGGCUUUGCAAGUCGGGUGUGAAAGCCCUCAGCUCAACUGAGGAAGUGCGCCCGAAACUGCAGAGCUUGAGUGCCGGAGAGGGUGGCGGAAUUCCCCAAGUAGAGGUGAAAUUCGUAGAUAUGGGGAGGAACACCAGUGGCGAAGGCGGCUCACUGGCUCGAUACUGACGCUGAGGUGCGAAAGCGUGGGGAGCAAACAGGA
rnacentral:rRNA from 1 species